rnacentral:sRNA from 1 species
GUCGCCGCCCCGGCCCAAGAGGGUACUCGGCGCCAGCAGUCCAGAGGCCCAGCCCGCGCAGGAGGCGCUCCUCCUUCCCACCGCUGUAUUCUUCAGGACUUGUGGAAUGUGAGGAUCAUGAUCCGCUUAAUCCUGAUAGAAGUUUUGAUGUGGAAUCAGUAAAGAAAGAAAUCCAGAGAGGAAGGAAGUUGAAAUGCAAAUUUUGUCAUAAAAGAGGAGCCACCGUGGGAUGUGAUUUAAAAAACUGUAACAAGAAUUACCACUUUUUCUGCGCCAAGAAGGAUGACGCAGUUCCACAGUCUGAUGGAGUUCGAGGAAUUUAUAAACUGCUUUGCCAACAACAUGCUCAAUUCCCGAUCAUCGCUCAAAGUGACCUAUUCUCUUUGAACCAUUCCCUGGUAUCUUUCAUUCUCCCUACACUCACAGAACCAAACUAAGACAUGGGAAAAAGCCUCGACUUUUGGGACUGCUUCUCUUCCAUAAGAAUUUUCAGUAGAUAAAAUUUUAAAAGUGCUGCACCUUCCCUGAGUGAAAAUUCCCUAAGGAUGCAUGGUUAGCAUUUCAGUUCUAAUUAAGGCAGACUGGAUCCUGGCUAACUGGAGUUAUGGGGUAUACUUUUAUUCAUGAGUGGAACAACAGUGUGUUAGCAGCACUAAAUCUGCAAUGUUCACUGUGAACUGGAGUCAGGACCUCGUUGAAGACUUAGUUCUGCAUCAUGCCAACUGCAUUUUAUGCUAAAUUUUCAGGAGUGAAAAGAAAAAGAGGAAGGAAGAAAUCCCU